ACCUCUGCUAAAUAGUAUCCCAUAUAACAAAUAAUACCUAACUCUUAUCUGGUGUUUUUCAUCCAUAGAUCUCCAAGUACUUUACAACAGAGGGCAGUAUCGUUGUAUCAUUUUAUGAAUGAUGAAAAUGAGAUAAAGGGAAAUACUGUAAGAACACACAGACCUGGAAGCAAUGUCUAGAAUACACACUGCUCCCUCUUUGUCACCAGUAACCAAGUUUAGGCUAUCUUUGAAAGGGAACGAUCUACAAACUUACAGAAAAGAAAAGAAAAGAAAAGAAAAGAAAAGAAAAGAAAAGAAAAGAAAAGAAAAGAAAAGAAAAGAAAAGAAAA